UAUUUUUGUCAAUGAAGGUUUUUUCUUUUUAUUUUAAUAGUUUAUAGAGUUUGUUCCUUAUCAGUUUGAUACUUAAUCAAUACUCCUAGGCCUUUUUAUUCUGUAUUUACUUUGAAAAGAACACUCCUAUGUAGCCAGUAUCCCUUCUGGUUUUCUGUUUGUCUUUUUCUUUCAGUGUUUGUUCUGGGGUGAGAUUGAAGCCCAAGUGUGCUGCUGCCUUGGAGAUGACUAUGCAGCGGCUGAGCUUUGACCUUUGUCCGUCUGUCUCUCCUUCCUCUGGCCCGCUGUAGAGUAAUGUGGGCACCAUCGCUCUUGCUUCAGAUGCUGUGAGCAUUCUGUGAACGGAAGACAGUUGCUGCAAAUGAAAGGGGCAAAGCUGUAGCGUAGCUUCCUGGGAAAGUGAAUGAUUUUAAUAACUUCCCAGUCUGGGUCUGAAGUUACUGGUUCAGUUUUUCUAUGAAUUCAGUAUUGUCUCCAGAGUUGCUUACGGGUGGCCUCUUUCUGUUACGUGCAGGAAAUGGGAUUAUAUAUCUGCAAGUAUUUUUCAGUGAGGCACAUAGUUUAAUCUUUAUAAGGUAUAAAUAGUGUCAACUCAUUGUAGGUCAUUUGACUCAGGCAUUUAAAAUGGGUGUAGGUUAAUUGUGGGAUUUUAUUUAUGUGAGUUUGGGGUUUUGAUUAUUUUUUUAUAGCACUUGUAUUUUGUUAUCCAAACUUUGCUCCAAUUGAAGAGAGUGUACUGUGUUUCUGACAGACUUAGAUGCACUAAGAAGUAAUGAAAAGAUGAGAAAUAGUGGCAUCAUUUCUUUCCUUCUUUCUUUUCUUUUUUUGUAAAUAGCUAUGUGAUACUUUAGGUGUGACCUCUACUUAACAUGGUAGCUAGUCUAGGGAGGGGAGCACUGUCUAGUUACACUUCCUUUCAUUGUAAACGUGUUUCAAAAAAAAAAACAGUUAUAAAACAGACAGACUUAGUUUCCUAGGGUUGUCCAUGCGGAGGGCAAGCAUGCAUCCAGACUGCUAGCCUGUCUGUCAACACCGUACGCACUGUUCAUCUCCUGCAUUUUCUCUUUACGUUCGCUCAGUGCAGAACUGUUUCUAAAAUAAUUCCUGGAAUGUGCUUUUGGAGUACAGUUUUUUUUAAUUAUCUGUGUAGUGUUUCAUUUUUUUUUAAGAAAAAAAAAAGCACUAUUGCAAACCCUGAAAAACAUCCUCAGACUUUGUAGUUCUUUUGCGUUUCUGUAACUUAAUGAGAAAAAAAAAAUACUGUCAUCACAGCAAAUAGGUUCAAAAUUAGGUGAUGAAAUAUUUUUGUAAAUAAAUACCAUUAAGCUGGUAUUUUGAGAAUGUAUUACAAAUUAAUGUUUCUGAGAAAUGUUCCUAUAUAUGUAAAUGAAUUUCUUUGCUGAAGAGCUCUGAUUGGGCAAAAUAAAAUACUCUAAUCUCUUCUG
rnacentral:lncRNA from 1 species